UCCCCGGCUUAGUAUAUAUCUAGGAUUUUGAUUGGUUAACGCACGUCGUUACAAAACCCAUAGCCCCUGGGUGUUGCUAACCCAUAUCCCGGACGUUGCUAACCAUUAUCCCGGGAACUUCACGCAAGUUUUCCUUAGUUCCAUGAUUGCUCCUUGUGAAAUAUUGAAUUCUGUAGAUUAUCCAUGAUGUUUGUAAUUAAAUAUUUAAUUCAUUAACGAUUUUGUCCUAUUAUGCCGAUCAUUUACACUCAUUUCAUUAAAUGCAUCACUUGACUGCCACAUUUUCAAGGACUGGGACUACUGACCUAGCUAUGCAAAUGACCCACAUUGACGUCACACCAUCUAUGACGUAACUCUCACAACAUUGAGCGCCAAAUUUGACUCAAUCCAGUUUCUCUGUCUCCGUAUUAAAAACGUCUUAUAUUUGACUACCUGUAGAGUUCUACCAAAGGUAGUACCCUACACCCCGUAAAAAAUAUGUAAAAUUUCCAAAUUUCAAUAAAAAAAAUUUAGAUAAUGAAAAAAACGUUGUUUUCACGUUACACUUUGUACCCGAAUUUCCAUAAAACUUGCCCGAUUCGGACUAAGACCGGG
rnacentral:lncRNA from 1 species